rnacentral:lncRNA from 1 species
UCGAUAAAUAAACACCAUGUCUAGUACAAAUGAUUAAUGGGUAUUGUGUGUGUAUGUUGUAAAUCUUGAAGUAUGAGUUCAAUUUUUACAACUAUUUUCAUGAUGUUUCCCUUAAUCUUCUUUCUAAUCUCCCCUGUCUAAUUAACUACGCUAUUUUUAACAUAAAGCACAUUGGAGUAAAACUGAAAAUAACACAAUUACAAUUUGAACUUGUUUUAUACAAUUUAGGAGGCAGAGAAAAGGUAAAACUAAAACAAAUUCUGAAAAGUUUGAACACUAUACACAUCCAAUCAUUCAUGACCAGUAACCACUACAUUGAUUAUGGUUGAUCUGGAAGAUGACUCAGUCUAAACUAGAACUACUUAAAAGACAUUCUACAAACUCUAAAGUAAAGUGCUAAUUUCAGCUUCAAAGAAGAAAGCAGUGCUGAUUAAAUUAGCUAACCUCCCUAUAAUUACGCACCAAACCUUCAGGUUCCAGUGGUGCUAUAGUUACAAUUGUUUCGGGCACCGGAAACAACAUAGGUUGUGGUUGGGAUGAACUACCUUGUGACCCAACAAUUUUGUUACAAGUUUCAAUAAGGCACUGUCUACAUUUCGGACAAGACGAAUGCGAACUUAGCCAUUUGUCAAUGCAACGAACAUGAAAUCCAUGGUUACACUUUGGCAAAAGGCGCACUUUAUCGCCGUUAGUGAACUCCGACAGACAUAUCACACACUCCGAGUCCAAACUCGGCAAUUUCAGCUCAUCUGAGUAACUAACUGUGGUGAAUUUCUUGAGAGCUUUCUUCUUGAUUCCAGUGUUUGCCGCUCGAACUGGAAUGUUGUUAGCGGAGCGAUCACCACUCAUCACAACUAAAUUGGAACAUUUUAAUGCACACCUUAUGAUUGAGUUCAAACAAAGUGAACAAAUAAGAGCACAUAAUAGGACAGAGAGUACCAUAACAACAUUUGCAUCAAAAUUACCAUCUCCAGCAUAUGAUGAUUCUUUAGUUGAAUCAUGGAUGCUUGUGGAAAUUGGAGGGUUGGCUGAAUUGGAUGAGUGAAGGAGUAACCUUCUUGAGUGGAAAUUCUCAACAAGUUCAUGGAGGAGUGGUGAAACAAAGGAAGUAGUAGCAUACAUGUUUUUGUUUAAGGUGUUAAUGUUUUUGAGCUUAAUUUUGAUUUUUGAGGUUGGUUGCACUAAGGGGAUUUGUAUAUUUAUAAGGUGGUUGGAUUUGUUGUCUUUCUCUUAUUGUGGCAUGAAAUUACAAUUAUCAAUUAUUAUAUAAUAAUAAUAAUGUGCUAAAUAGUGUAGCUAUAGGUAGCUUUGUAAUCAGAAUAUUCCUAGAAGGUUAUGGUUAGAUAUAGGGUAUUUUUCUGUCUUUAAUGUUGUUACCCCUUGGAGAUAGAUGUCUUCAUUUACAAGUAUAUGGAUACUCCACUAAUUUAACCUUUUGUAAAUUGCCUUUCAAAUCAAGAUGGGUCCAUUAUUAAAUUUCAAUCCCAC